AUUGAACGCUGGCGGCAGGCUUAACACAUGCAAGUCGAGCGGGGUGAUGGUGCUUGCACUAUCACUUAGCGGCGGACGGGUGAGUAAUGCUUAGGAAUCUGCCUAUUAGUGGGGGACAACAUCUCGAAGGGGAUGCUAAUACCGCAUACGUCCUACGGGAGAAAGCAGGGGAUCACUUGUGACCUUGCGCUAAUAGAUGAGCCUAAGUCGGAUUAGCUAGUUGGUGGGGUAAAGGCCUACCAAGGCGACGAUCUGUAGCGGGUCUGAGAGGAUGAUCCGCCACACUGGGACUGAGACACGGCCCAGACUCCUACGGGAGGCAGCAGUGGGGAAUAUUGGACAAUGGGGGGAACCCUGAUCCAGCCAUGCCGCGUGUGUGAAGAAGGCCUUAUGGUUGUAAAGCACUUUAAGCGAGGAGGAGGCUCUUUUGGUUAAUACCCAAGAUGAGUGGACGUUACUCGCAGAAUAAGCACCGGCUAACUCUGUGCCAGCCGCCGCCGCAG
rnacentral:rRNA from 1 species